CCUACGGGAGGCAGCAGUGGGGAAUCUUGCACAAUGGGGGGAACCCUGAUGCAGCGACGCCGCGUGAGUGAAGAAGUAUUUCGGUACGUAAAGCUCUAUCAGCCGGGAAGAAAAAGGGACGGUACCUGAGUAAGAAGCCCCGGCUAACUACGUGCCAGCAUCCGCGGUAAUACGUAGGGGGCAAGCGUUAUCCGGAAUUACUGGGCGUAAAGCGCUCGUAGGCGGUAUGUCAAGUCAAGGGUGAAAUCCCCGCUCUCAACGUGGGAACUGCCUUUGAAACUGGCAAACUGGAGUGUGUGAGAGGAUAGUGGAAUUCCAGGUGUAGGAGUGAAAUCCGUAGAUAUCUGGAGGAACAUCAGUGGCGAAGGCGACUAUCUGGCACAUAACUGACGCUGAGGAGCGAAAGCGUGGGUAGCAAACAGGAUUAGAUACCCCUGUAGUC
rnacentral:rRNA from 1 species